rnacentral:rRNA from 1 species
CAACUCCCCGAGUGGUCCGGACGAUUAUUGGGCUUAAAGCGUCCGUAGCCGGCCUAGUAAGUCUCCGGUUAAAUCCGGCGUCUCAAGCGCCGGGCUGCCGGAGAUACUGCUAGGCUAGGGAGCGGGAGAGGCGGGCGGUAUUCCCUGGGUAGGGGUAAAAUCCUAAGAUCCAGGGAGGACCAUCGGUGGCGAAGGCGGCCCGCUAGAACGCGUCCGACGGUGAGGGACGAAAGCUGGGGGAGCGAUCCGGAUUAGAUACCCGGGUAGUCCCAGCCGUAAACGAUGCAGGCUAGGUGUGUGGGCGUCUUAGGGGCGCCCAUGUGCCGAAGGGAAACCGUUAAGCCUGCCGCCUGGGGAGUACGGCCGCAAGGCUGAAACUUAAAGGAAUUGGCGGGGGAGCACCACAAGGGGUGGAGCCUGCGGUUCAAUUGGAGUCAACGCCCGGAACCUUACCCGGGGAGACAGCAGGAUGAAGGCCGGGCUGAAGACCCUGCCAGACAAGCUGAGAGGUGGUGCAUGGCCGUCGCCGGCUCGUACCGUGAGGCGUCCGGUUAAGUCCGGCAACGAGCGAGACCCGUGCCGCCAAUUGCUCCAGCCCUCUUCGGGGGGCUGAGGAAAUUGGCGGGACCGCCGCCGACAAGGCGGAGGAAGGAGCGGGCUACGGCAGGUCAGUAUGCCCUGAAUCCCCGGGGCCACACGCGGGCUACAAUGGCGCGGACAAUGGGUUGCGACCCCGAAAGGGGGAGCUAAUCCCUAAACCGCGCCUCAGUUGGGAUCGAGGGCUGCAACCCGUCCUCGUGAACCUGGAAUCCCUAGUAACCGCGCGUCAUCAUCGCGCGGUGAAUACGUCCCUGCUCCUU